rnacentral:rRNA from 1 species
CCUACGGGAGGCAGCAGUGGGGAAUUUUGGACAAUGGGCGCAAGCCUGAUCCAGCAAUGCCGCGUGCAGGAUGAAGGCCUUCGGGUUGUAAACUGCUUUUGUACGGAACGAAACGGUCCUUUCUAAUACAAGGGGCUAAUGACGGUACCGUAAGAAUAAGCACCGGCUAACUACGUGCCAGCAGCCGCGGUAAUACGUAGGGUGCGAGCGUUAAUCGGAAUUACUGGGCGUAAAGCGUGCGCAGGCGGUUAUAUAAGACAGAUGUGAAAUCCCCGGGCUCAACCUGGGACCUGCAUUUGUGACUGUAUAGCUAGAGUACGGUAGAGGGGGAUGGAACUCCGCGUGUAGCAGUGAAAUGCGUAGAUAUGCGGAGGAACACCGAUGGCGAAGGCAAUCCCCUGGACCUGUACUGACGCUCAUGCACGAAAGCGUGGGGAGCAAACAGGAUUAGAUACCCUGGUAGUCCACGCCCUAACCGAUGUCAACUGGUUGUUGGGUCUUCACUGACUCAGUACGAAGCUAACGCGUGAAGUUGACCGCCUGGGAGUACGGCCGCAGGUUGAACUUAAAUGAAUUGACCGGNGNGNGAGAGCGAGAGACGACGAGGAGGAGG